CCCUUAGAUGUUCUGGGCUGCACGCGCGCUACACUGAAGCUAUCAACACGUUUUCCCUCCCUGAGAAGGGCGGGUAACCUUUUGAAUCAGCUUCGUGGUAGGGAUCGGGGCUUGCAAUUGUUCCCCGUGAACCAGGAAUUCCUAGUAGACGCGAGUCAUAAGCUCGCAUCGAUUAAGUCCCUGCCCUUUGUACACACCGCCCGUCGCUACUACCGAUUGAACGUUUUAGUGAGGCAUUUUGACCGACGCAUCUCAGUUUAACCGCUGGUUUGUGUUGGAAAGACUUCCAAACUUGAGCGUUUAGAGGAAGUAAAAGUCGUAACA
rnacentral:rRNA from 1 species